GAGCAACUUAGGAUUUUAGGCUCCGCCGCGCCCGGCCCGUUCCCGGCGCGGCGCAAAACCCGCUUGAGGCUGGCGGUCUUGGGCGUGGUCAAAAUCUAUCCGCCGGAG
rnacentral:ncRNA from 1 species